rnacentral:rRNA from 1 species
GAGCGAACAGGAUUAGAUACCCUGGUAGUCCACGCCGUAAACGUUGGGAACUAGGUGUUGGCGACAUUCCACGUCGUCGGUGCCGCAGCUAACGCAUUAAGUUCCCCGCCUGGGGAGUACGGCCGCAAGGCUAAAACUCAAAGGAAUUGACGGGGGCCCGCACAAGCAGCGGAGCAUGUGGCUUAAUUCGACGCAACGCGAAGAACCUUACCAAGGCUUGACAUAUGCCGGAAACAUCCAGAGAUGGGUGCCCCCUUGUGGUCGGUAUACAGGUGGUGCAUGGUUGUCGUCAGCUCGUGUCGUGAGAUGUUGGGUUAAGUCCCGCAACGAGCGCAACCCUUGUUCUGUGUUGCCAGCAUGCCUUUCGGGGUGAUGGGGACUCACAGGAGACUGCCGGGGUCAACUCGGAGGAAGGUGGGGACGACGUCAAAUCAUCAUGCCCCUUAUGUCUUGGGCUGCACACGUGCUACAAUGGUCGGUACAAAGGGCUGCGAUGCCGCGAGGCGGAGCGAAUCCCAAAAAGCCGGCCUCAGUUCGGAUUGGGGUCUGCAACUCGACCCCAUGAAG